rnacentral:rRNA from 1 species
UACGUAGGGUCCGAGCGUUGUCCGGAGUUACUGGGCGUAAAGCGCGCGCAGGCGGCGGUGUUGGCCCGGCGUGAAAGCCCCCGGCUCAACCGGGGAGAGUCGUCGGGGACCGCACCGCUUGAGGGCGGUAGGGGCUGGUGGAAUGCCUGGUGUAGUGGUGAAAUGCGUAGAGAUCAGGCAGAACACCUGGGGCGAAGGCGGCCAGCUGGGCCGUCCCUAACGCUGAGGCGCGAAGGCGUGGGGAGCGAACGGG